GUGCCUAUACAUGCAAGUCGAGCGGACAGAUGGGAGCUUGCUCCCUGAUGUUAGCGGCGGACGGGUGAGUAACACGUGGGUAACCUGCCUGUAAGACUGGGAUAACUCCGGGAAACCGGGGCUAAUACCGGAUGGUUGUUUGAACCGCAUGGUUCAAACAUAAAAGGUGGCUUCGGCUACCACUUACAGAUGGACCCGCGGCGCAUUAGCUAGUUGGUGAGGUAACGGCUCACCAAGGCAACGAUGCGUAGCCGACCUGAGAGGGUGAUCGGCCACACUGGGACUGAGACACGGCCCAGACUCCUACGGGAGGCAGCAGUAGGGAAUCUUCCGCAAUGGACGAAAGUCUGACGGA
rnacentral:rRNA from 1 species